UGGGGAAUUUUGGACAAUGGGCGAAAGCCUGAUCCAGCAAUGCCGCGUGCGUGAAGAAGGCCUUCGGGUUGUAAAGCACUUUUGUCCGGAAAGAAAUCCUUGGCUCUAAUACAGUCGGGGGAUGACGGUACCGGAAGAAUAAGCACCGGCUAACUACGUGCCAGCAGCCGCGGUAAUACGUAGGGUGCAAGCGUUAAUCGGAAUUACUGGGCGUAAAGCGUGCGCAGGCGGUUUGCUAAGACCGAUGUGAAAUCCCCGGGCUCAACCUGGGAACUGCAUUGGUGACUGGCAGGCUAGAGUAUGGCAGAGGGGGGUAGAAUUCCACGUGUAGCAGUGAAAUGCGUAGAGAUGUGGAGGAAUACCGAUGGCGAAGGCAGCCCCCUGGGCCAAUACUGACGCUCAUGCACGAAAGCGUGGGGAGCAAACAGGAUUAGAUACCCUGGUAGUCCACGCCCUAAAACGAUGUCAACUAGUUGUUGGGGAUUCAUUUCCUUAGUAACGUAGCUAACGCGUGAAGUUGACCGCCUGGGGAGUACGGUCGCAAGAUUAAAACUCAAAGGAAUUGACGGGGUCAUAGCUGUUUCCU
rnacentral:rRNA from 1 species